rnacentral:rRNA from 1 species
CCUACGGGUGGCUGCAGUCGAGAAUUUUUGGCAAUGGGCGAAAGCCUGACCAAGCGAUGCCGCGUGCGGGAUGAAGGCCUUCGGGUUGUAAACCGCUGUCAGUGGGGAGGCCUAUCCGCAGAGGAAGUGUGGGCUAAGUUCGUGCCAGCAGCCGCGGUAAGACGAACCACACAAACGUUAUUCGGAAUUACUGGGCUUAAAGGGUGCGUAGGCUGCGCAGAAAGUUGGGUGUGAAAUCCCUCGGCUCAACCGAGGAACUGCGCCCAAAACUACUGUGCUCGAGGAAGAUAGAGGUGAGCGGAACUUACGGUGGAGCGGUGAAAUGCGUUGAUAUCGUAAGGAACACCUGUGGCGAAAGCGGCUCACUGGGUUUUCUGACGCUGAUGCACGAAAGCUAGGGGAGCAAACGGGAUUAGAUACCCUUGUAGUC